rnacentral:rRNA from 1 species
AUUGAACGCUGGCGGCAUGCUUUACACAUGCAAGUCGAACGGUAACAGGUUAAGCUGACGAGUGGCGAACGGGUGAGUAAUGCAUCGGAACGUGCCCGGUCGUGGGGGAUAACGCAGCGAAAGCUGCGCUAAUACCGCAUACGAUCUGAGGAUGAAAACGGGGGACCGUAAGGCCUCGCGCGAUCGGAGCGGCCGAUGUCAGAUUAGGUAGUUGGUGAGGUAAAGGCUCACCAAGCCAACGAUCUGUAGCUGGUCUGAGAGGACGACCAGCCACACUGGGACUGAGACACGGCCCAGACUCCUACGGGAGGCAGCAGUGGGGAAUUUUGGACAAUGGGCGAAAGCCUGAUCCAGCAAUGCCGCGUGCAGGAAGAAGGCCUUCGGGUCGUAAACUGCUUUUGUACGGAGCGAAAAGGCUCUCUCUAAUACAGGGGGCUCAUGACGGUACCGUAAGAAUAAGCACCGGCUAACUACGUGCCAGCCGCCGCAGUAA